rnacentral:rRNA from 1 species
UGCAGUCGAGCGGACAGAUGGGAGCUUGCUCCCUGAUGUUAGCGGCGGACGGGUGAGUAACACGUGGGUAACCUGCCUGUAAGACUGGGAUAACUCCGGGAAACCGGGGCUAAUACCGGAUGCUUGUUUGAACCGCAUGGUUCAAACAUAAAAGGUGGCUUCGGCUACCACUUACAGAUGGACCCGCGGCGCAUUAGCUAGUUGGUGAGGNNANGGCUCACCAAGGCAACGAUGCGUAGCCGACCUGAGAGGGUGAUCGGCCACACUGGGACUGAGACACGGCCCAGACUCCUACGGGAGGCAGCAGUAGGGAAUCUUCCGCAAUGGACGAAAGUCUGACGGAGCAACGCCGCGUGAGUGAUGAAGGUUUUCGGAUCGUAAAGCUCUGUUGUUAGGGAAGAACAAGUACCGUUCGAAUAGGGCGGUACCUUGACGGUACCUAACCAGAAAGCCACGGCUAACUACGUGCCAGCAGCCGCGGUAAUACGUAGGUGGCAAGCGUUGUCCGGAAUUAUUGGGCGUAAAGGGCUCGCAGGCGGUUCCUUAAGUCUGAUGUGAAAGCCCCCGGCUCAACCGGGGAGGGUCAUUGGAAACUGGGGAACUUGAGUGCAGAAGAGGAGAGUGGAAUUCCACGUGUAGCGGUGAAAUGCGUAGAGAUGUGGAGGAACACCAGUGGCGAAGGCGACUCUCUGGUCUGUAACUGACGCUGAGGAGCGAAAGCGUGGGGAGCGAACAGGAUUAGAUACCCUGGUAGUCCACGCCGUAAACGAUGAGUGCUAAGUGUUAGGGGGUUUCCGCCCCUUAGUGCUGCAGCUAACGCAUUAAGCACUCCGCCUGGGGAGUACGGUCGCAAGACUGAAACUCAAAGGAAUUGACGGGGGCCCGCACAAGCGGUGGAGCAUGUGGUUUAAUUCGAAGCAACGCGAAGAACCUUACCAGGUCUUGACAUCCUCUGACAAUCCUAGAGAUAGGACGUCCCCUUCGGGGGCAGAGUGACAGGUGGUGCAUGGUUGUCGUCAGCUCGUGUCGUGAGAUGUUGGGUUAAGUCCCGCAACGAGCGCAACCCUUGAUCUUAGUUGCCAGCAUUCAGUUGGGCACUCUAAGGUGACUGCCGGUGACAAACCGGAGGAAGGUGGGGAUGACGUCAAAUCAUCAUGCCCCUUAUGACCUGGGCUACACACGUGCUACAAUGGACAGAACAAAGGGCAGCGAAACCGCGAGGUUAAGCCAAUCCCACAAAUCUGUUCUCAGUUCGGAUCGCAGUCUGCAACUCGACUGCGNGAAGCNGGAAUCGCUAGUAAUCGNNGAUCAGC